rnacentral:rRNA from 1 species
AUUGAACGCUGGCGGCAUGCCUUACACAUGCAAGUCGAACGGCAGCACGGGAGCAAUCCUGGUGGCGUGUGGCGAACGGGUGAGUAAAGUAUCGGAACGUGCCCAGUCGUGGGGGAUAACGUAGCGAAAGUUACGCUAAUACCGCAUACGAUCUAUGGAUGAAAGCGGGGGAUCGCAAGACCUCGCGCGAUUGGAGCGGCCGAUAUCAGAUUAGGUAGUUGGUGGGGUAAAGGCUCACCAAGCCGACGAUCUGUAGCUGGUCUGAGAGGACGACCAGCCACACUGGGAAUGAGACGCGGCCCAGACUCCUACGGGAGGCAGCAGUGGGGAAUUUUGGACAAUGGGCGCAAGCCUGAUCCAGCCAUGCCGCGUGCAGGAUGAAGGCCUUCGGGUUGUAAACUGCUUUUGUACGGAACGAAAAGGUUUGACUUAAUACGUUGGACUCAUGACGGUACCGUAAGAAUAAGCACCGGCUAACUACGUGCCAGCCGCCGCCGUAAGAC